AGCCCUAUAGCUAGCCUAACCCCCUAAAACCAACAGACCAAUAUUUAAUGUACCCUAAUGCAUUAAGCAACAUAAAACAAACCAUUUUUCCCUCUUAGUAUGGGAGACAGAAAAGAGAC
rnacentral:rRNA from 1 species